GGGCCCGCACAAGCGGCGGAGCAUGUGGCUUAAUUCGAGGCAACGCGAAGAACCUUACCUAGGCUUGACAUGCAGGGAAAUCCGGCAGAGAUGUCGGGUCCGCAAGGGCUCUGCACAGGUGGUGCAUGGUUGUCGUCAGCUCGUGUCGUGAGAUGUUGGGUUAAGUCCCGCAACGAGCGCAACCCUCGUCCUAUGUUGCCAGCGGUUCGGCCGGGGACUCAUAGGAGACUGCCGGGGUCAACUCGGAGGAAGGUGGGGAUGACGUCAAAUCAUCAUGCCCCUUAUGUCUAGGGCUGCACACAUGCUACAAUGGCCGGUACAAAGGGCUGCGAAGCCGUGAGGUGGAGCGAAUCCCAAAAAGCCGGUCUCAGUUCGGAUCGGGGUCUGCAACUCGACCCCGUGAAGUCGGAGUCGCUAGUAAUCGCAGAUCAGCAACGCUGCGGUGAAUACGUUCCCGGGCCUU
rnacentral:rRNA from 1 species